rnacentral:rRNA from 1 species
AAUUCUUGACAUCCCUGUCGCGAUUUCCAGAGAUGGAUUUGUUCAGUUCGGCUGGACAGGAUCC